rnacentral:rRNA from 1 species
UACGUAGGCAGCAAGCGUUGUUCGGAGUUACUGGGCGUAAAGCGUGCGCAGGCGGUUUUGUAAGCCAGAUGUGAAAUCCCCGGGCUCAACCUGGGAAUGGCAUUUGGGACUGCAAGGCUCGAGUGCGGCAGAGGAGACUGGAAUUCCUGGUGUAGCAGUGAAAUGCGUAGAUAUCAGGAGGAAUACCGAUGGCGAAGGCAGGUCUCUGGGCUGACACUGACGCUCAUGCACGAAAGCGUGGGGAGCAAACAGG